rnacentral:rRNA from 1 species
GACGAACGUUGGCGGCGUGCUUAACACAUGCAAGUCGAACGGAAAGGCCCUGCUUUUGUGGGGUGCUCGAGUGGCGAACGGGUGAGUAACACGUGAGUAACCUGCCCUUGACUUUGGGAUAACUUCAGGAAACUGGGGCUAAUACCGGAUAGGAGCUCCUGCUGCAUGGUGGGGGUUGGAAAGUUUCGGCGGUUGGGGAUGGACUCGCGGCUUAUCAGCUUGUUGGUGGGGUAGUGGCUUACCAAGGCUUUGACGGGUAGCCGGCCUGAGAGGGUGACCGGCCACAUUGGGACUGAGAUACGGCCCAGACUCCUACGGGAGGCAGCAGUGGGGAAUAUUGCACAAUGGGCGGAAGCCUGAUGCAGCAACGCCGCGUGCGGGAUGACGGCCUUCGGGUUGUAAACCGCUUUCGCCUGUGACGAAGCGUGAGUGACGGUAAUGGGUAAAGAAGCACCGGCUAACUACGUGCCAGCAGCCGCGGUGAUACGUAGGGUGCGAGCGUUGUCCGGAUUUAUUGGGCGUAAAGGGCUCGUAGGUGGUUGAUCGCGUCGGAAGUGUAAUCUUGGGGCUUAACCCUGAGCGUGCUUUCGAUACGGGUUGACUUGAGGAAGGUAGGGGAGAAUGGAAUUCCUGGUGGAGCGGUGGAAUGCGCAGAUAUCAGGAGGAACACCAGUGGCGAAGGCGGUUCUCUGGGCCUUUCCUGACGCUGAGGAGCGAAAGCGUGGGGAGCGAACAGGCUUAGAUACCCUGUAGUCCACGCUGUAAACGGUGGGUACUAGGUGUGGGGUCCAUUCCACGGGUUCCGUGCCGUAGCUAACGCUUUAAGUACCCCGCCUGGGGAGUACGGCCGCAAGGCUAAAACUCAAAGGAAUUGACGGGGCCCCGCACAAGCGGCGGAGCAUGCGGAUUAAUUCGAUGCAACGCGUAGAUCCUUACCUGGGUUUGACAUGGAUCGGGAGUGCUCAGAGAUGGGUGUGCCUCUUUUGGGGUCGGUUCACAGGUGGUGCAUGGCUGUCGUCAGCUCGUGUCGUGAGAUGUUGGGUUAAGUCCCGCAACGAGCGCAACCCUUGUUCACUGUUGCCAGCACGUUAUGGUGGGGACUCAGUGGAGACCGCCGGGGUCAACUCGGAGGAAGGUGGGGAUGACGUCAAGUCAUCAUGCCCCUUAUGUCCAGGGCUUCACGCAUGCUACAAUGGCUGGUACAGAGAGUGGCGAGCCUGUGAGGGUGAGCGAAUCUCGGAAAGCCGGUCUCAGUUCGGAUUGGGGUCUGCAACUCGACCUCACGAAGUCGGAGUCGCUAGUAAUCGCAGAUCAGCAACGCUGCGGUGAAUACGUUCCCGGGGCU